AUUGAACGCUGGCGGCAUGCCUUACACAUGCAAGUCGAACGGCAGCGGGGACUUCGGUCCGCCGGCGAGUGGCGAACGGGUGAGUAAUGUAUCGGAACGUACCUUUCAGUGGGGGAUAACGUAGCGAAAGUUACGCUAAUACCGCAUAUUCUUUGAGGAGGAAAGCAGGGGACCUUCGGGCCUCGUGCUGAUGGAGCGGCCGAUAUCAGAUUAGCUAGUUGGUGAGGUAAAGGCUCACCAAGGCGACGAUCUGUAGCGGGUCUGAGAGGAUGAUCCGCCACACUGGGACUGAGACACGGCCCAGACUCCUACGGGAGGCAGCAGUGGGGAAUUUUGGACAAUGGGCGCAAGCCUGAUCCAGCCAUGCCGCGUGAGUGAAGAAGGCCUUCGGGUUGUAAAGCUCUUUCGGACGGGAAGAAAUUGGUGGGGCUAAUAUCCCCAUCGGAUGACGGUACCGUAAUAAGAAGCACCGGCUAACUACGUGCCAGCCGCCGCCGUAACAC
rnacentral:rRNA from 1 species